AGGCAUCACGGGGGGAUUACCCGUUGAGUUUAAGCAUAUCAACAAGCGGAGGAAAACAAACUUACAAGGAUUCCCUUAGUAACGGCGAGCGAAUUCGGAAUAGCCCAUCCUUAGAAUCUGGCGGCUCCGUUGUCCGAAUUAUAGUUUGUAGAAGCGUCCUCAGCGGCGGACCGAGCCCAACUCCCCUGGAAGGGGGUGCCAGAGAGGGUGAGACACCCAUUGUGCUCGGACCCUGUCGCACCAUGAGGCACUGUCUACGAGUCGGGUUGUUUGGAAAUACAGCCCAAUCGGGCGGUGAAUUUCAUCUAAGGCUAAAUACGGGCGACAGACCGAUAGCGAACAAGUACCGCAAUGGAAAGAUGAAAAGGACUUUGAAAAGAGAGUCAAAGAGUGCUUGAAAUUAUCAGGAGGGAAGCGAAUGGGGGCCGGAGAUGCGCCCCGAUCGGAUGUGGAAUAGCGACGAGCCGGUCCGCCGAUCGAUUCGGGGCGUGGACCAGCAUGGAUUGGUGGGGAGUCCAAAGCCCAGGCUGUCUAUAUGCUCGUGGAAUGCUGUCUCCAUGAUUUUGGCAAGCAGCGUGUGCCUCUGGCGUUCUUCGUAAUUCAACCUAGUAUGAGAGGAAAUGUUGAUUCACAUAAUUUUUCAUCGCGCUUGGUUAAAAAGCCAAUGGCAUAAAAGCUACUGUGUGCUAGAUUAUGACUGAACACUACUAAGUCAGAAUCCGAGCUAGAAGCGACGCCUGUACCCACUGUCCGCUUGCCGACACGCAGUAGGGGCCUCGGCCCCCAAGGGCACGUGUUGUUUGCUAAGCCACCGCGGCAGAAGAGUCGCUGCGGCCGCCUUGAAGUAUAAUUUCCAUCGAGCGUCGGGUAGAAUCCUUUGCAGACGACAUAAAUAUGCGAUGGGGUAUUAUAAGUGAAAGAGUGGCCUUGCUGCCAUGAUCCAAUGAGAUUCAUCCCUUUGUCGCUCCGGUUCGU
rnacentral:rRNA from 1 species